rnacentral:lncRNA from 1 species
CUGGCCGGAAGCAGGGGACACAGGAGUGGCUGCGACUUCUUCUUCCUCUCGUGUUUCUUCUUUUCUUUUUUCUUUCUUUUUUUAUUUUUUAUUUUUUGAACGAGAUGGGGCAGCGAGGAGGUCGAGCGGUGGUCGAAGGUCGCUGGCCGGGGAAACAGUGACAAUGAUGAAGAAAGAGUUGCCUUGUAGUGGUGGUGGGGAAGAAGGGAAGCAAGGCUAUGGCGUGCUGCGCCAAGGAUCGUUGCUCUGAUACCAAAUGAUAAGACCCUAAA